rnacentral:rRNA from 1 species
UACGUAGGUGGCAAGCGUUGUCCGGAUUUACUGGGCGUAAAGAGCGCGUAGGCGGUCGUAUGAGUCGCGUGUGAAAGCCCCCGGCUCAACUGGGGAGGGUCACGCGAUACUGUUCGACUCGAAGGCAGGAGAGGGAAGCGGAAUUCCCGGUGUAGUGGUGAAAUGCGUAGAUAUCGGGAGGAACACCAGUGGCGAAGGCGGCUUCCUGGCCUGUUCUUGACGCUGAGGCGCGAAAGCUAGGGUAGCAAACGGG